rnacentral:rRNA from 1 species
AUUCCAGCUCCAAUAGCGUAUAUUAAAGUUGUUGCGGUUAAAAAGCUCGUAGUUGGAUUUCUGCCGAGGACGACCGGUCCGCCCUCUGGGUGAGUAUCUGGCUCGGCCUGGGCAUCUUCUUGGAGAACGUAUCUGCACUUGACUGUGUGGUGCGGUAUCCAGGACUUUUACUUUGAGGAAAUUAGAGUGUUUCAAGCAGGCUUACGCCUUGAAUACAUUAGCAUGGAAUAAUAAGAUAGGACCUCGGUUCUAUCUUGUUGGUUUGCGUGUCGAGAUAAUGAUGAAUAGGGACAGUUGGGGGUGUUUGUAUUCCAUAGUCAGAGGUGAAAUUCUUGGAUUUAUGGAAGACAAACUAAUGCGAAAGCAUCUACCAAGGAUGUUUUCAUUA